rnacentral:rRNA from 1 species
UACAGAGGUCCCGAGCGUUGUUCGGAUUCACUGGGCGUAAAGGGUGCGUAGGUGGCUUGAAAAGUUUGAUGUGAAAGCUCAGGGCUUAACCCUGAAAUGGCAUUGAAAACUGUCGGGCUGGAGGUUUGGAGGGGGGACUGGAAUUCUUGGUGUAGCAGUGAAAUGCGUAGAUAUCAAGAGGAACACCAGUGGCGAAGGCGGCUUUUUGGUCUGUAACUGACGCUGAGGCGCGAAAGCGUGGGGAGCAAACAGG